GACGAACGCUGGCGGCGUGCUUAACACAUGCAAGUCGAACGGAAAGGCCCUGCUUUUGUGGGGUGCUCGAGUGGCGCACGGAUGAGUAACACGUGAGUAACGUGCCCUUGACUUUGGGAUACCUUCAGGAAACUGGGGCUAAUACCGGAUAGGAGGUCCUGCUGCAUGGUGGGGGUUGGAAAGUUUCGGCGGUUGGGGAUGGGCGCACGGCUUAUGAGCUGGUUGGUGGGGUAGUGGCUUACCAAGGCUUUGACGAUUAGCCGGCCGGAGAGGGUGACCGGCAGCAUUGGUGGUAAGGUACGGCGGCGACGACUACGAGGGGAAGCAGUGGGGGAGAUUGCACAGUGAUCGGAGGCCUGAUGAAGGAACGCCGCGUGGGGGAGGACGGACGUCGAGUGGUAGAGCGCUGUCGUCUGUGACGAAGCGGCAGUGACGGUAAUGGGUAAAGAAGCACCGGCUAACUACGUG
rnacentral:rRNA from 1 species